rnacentral:lncRNA from 1 species
GGCCUUGCUCUUAAAGUAAUCAACUAUAAUAUCAACAAUACAAGAGAUGAUUUAAACUUAAACGUCACUCAUUUUCAUUUUAGCCUCACUCUCAUACAACUAUAAUGAAGUAACUCCUCCACUAAAACUUUAGACAACAUUGAUAAACCAUAUAUACAAAGGAAUUUGAACUCAUAAAGUUCCUUAAAUGAAAAGGAAUAUGCUCUCUAAAUUUAUAUAUUAAAGUUGAAACACAAUUCUCCUCUAAAUAUGCAUUGUAGCACUUCGCAAAUGAACAAGUGUUGGGAUUUAGUGCCCUUUAUAUAGUAAUUUCGUCUAUGUAAUUUUUCAAACAAAUUUGUUUAGAUAAAAUCUCAUCAUUAUCAUUAAUAUUUUUUGUAUAAUGCCCUCUACAAGUUUUACACGAAAAGCAAAAUGAAAGUAAAUAUUAACUCACUAAUUAUCCAAACGUUGAACUAAUAUUAUCUAAAUAUGCAUUGUAGCACUUUGCAAAUGAGCAAGUGUUGGGAUUUAGUGCCCUUUAUAUAGUAAUUUCGUCUAUGUAAUUUUUCAAACAAAUUUGUUUAGAUAAAAUCUCAUCAUUAUCAUUAAUAUUUUUUGUAUAAUGCCCUCUACAAGUUUUACACGAAAAGCAAAAUGAAAGUAAAUAUUAACUCACUAAUUAUCCAAACAUUGAACUAAUAUUAUGUGGCAUUAUGUGGUUGGAUUGUAGUGUGAGAAGACAACUUAUAUUAAUAAAUAAUCUAAAAACGUCUUUGGUCUAAUUAGAAGUGAAUAAAUUGAUUAAAAGACUAAUAUGACGCCUAUCAAGUCCAAAUUGGGAGAUACCUUGUCUUGAGUAUCAGAGUAGAUGACUCAUAGAAGAUAAAGGCAUAAAUGUGGCUCGCUGAACUACAAUACAUCAGACAUGACCCAAGUAGACUAGAUUCUAGAUCCGUCUAUUGAUUUGUUCACUUGUGGUAUUCAUAGUGUAACUUACCUCAAUCCUGAGUAAGUAAUUGACUCUGUGUGUGUGACUCAUAUACUUUGAUGCAUUAAUAACAUGUGUUCAAUUAAUAAUAGAGUCAAAAGGUGGUACAUUGGAUAUACGACUUCUACAUAACAUAAUUUCACUUACAACAGUGGAAUUUAUAACCUAAUAAAGAGUAAAUGAUAUCCUCUCAUCGGCAGUACAUGAUUGAUGGAAAGUAACGCGGUCACAAGUUAUUCGUCUUAGAAAUAAAAUAUUUAAUUAUUAUUUGUUAGUAAUUGACUUUUCAUGAAAGAAAAUGUAAUGAUUAUCAUGAGAUAAAAUAUGAUUUUAUUAGGAGAAUAAAUAUAUCCCAAAUAAAUAAAAAUAUCCUAUAAAGGUAAUAAACUUAUGAUAAGCUCAUUGGAUUUGCACUUGAUGAGUAGCUUUCACAAUAGUAUAAUAAAGGAUAAUUCAAUCAUGGUUUUUGGUUUAUAUAAAGAAUUAACUUUCCCACUUAAAUUUAAGAAAAGUUUUUAUUUUGUGUUAUUAAUUCGUUUUGUUUGAGCCCACACUCAAAGCAAUUUAGGGUUCGAGGAUAACAGAAAAGGUUAUUUAAUAGUAAGUCUCUAACUAGGUUAGUGUUACUCAUCAAUUGGGCCUCAACUCAGUUGGGAAAUUAUAAAAAAAUAAUCAUUAUUUUUAUAUAAUAAGUUAUAUUAUUAUGAGGGUAUUUUUAUAUGUUUAUAUUUUUAUAAAUCAAUAAAAAAAUACCCAUAAUAAAAUUUGAUUCAUGAAUACCAUGUAUAUACCAAACCUUCAAUUUUACUAUUUCAACCAAAACAUCUUUUAAUUUUUAUAUGAAUUUUCAUUUAAGUAUAUUUUAUUACAUAAUUAACUAAUAAUCUUAAAAAGGUCUGCUUCUUGGCACGCCUCUGUCCGCUCCUAUGUAGCACGUUUCUAUCAAGAAGAAUUUGGUUAGGGUUUUUUAUCUUUUGCUUUUAGUGGAUCUGGUGCAUGUUUAGGCUAUUCAUCGUACAGAAAUUGUGGAUCUGGUUUCUAACAGGUUUUAGCAGUGGUGUUUAGGAGAUCUCUUGUGGCGGUGGUCGAUUUGAAAUGGAUGAGGGUUUGGCUAGAUUGCGUAUUUCGGAUGGGAAGGAGGAGGAAGUGUUAACCUUUGGGCGAAUCUCGGAAGGAAAAAAGUAAUUUGUACGAGCAUUGUUUAGUGGGUUCUUUUCUUACUGUAGU